rnacentral:tRNA from 1 species
GCCCGGAUGGCGAAAUCGGUAGACGCAGCAGACUUAAAAUCUGCCGGGGGCAACUCCGUGCCGGUUCGAUUCCGGCUCCGGGCACCA